rnacentral:rRNA from 1 species
CGAUGGUUGUCGUCAGCUCGUGUCGUGAGAUGUUGGUUAAGUCCGCAACGAGCGCAACCCCUACUUGUUAGUUGCCAUCAUUCAGUUGGGCACUCUAGCGAGACUGCCGGUAAUAAACCGGAGGAAGGUGGGGAUGACGUCAAAUCAUCAUGCCCCUUAUGACCUGGGCUACACACGUGCUACAAUGGUUGGUACAACGAGUUGCGAGUCGGUGACGGCGAGCUAAUCUCUUAAAGCCAAUCUCAGUUCGGAUUGUAGGCUGCAACUCGCCUACAUGAAGUCGGAAUCGCUAGUAAUCGCGGAUCAGCACGCCGCGGUGAAUACGUUCCCGGGCCUU